rnacentral:RNase_P_RNA from 1 species
GCGGUAAGAGCGCACCGCGAACGCUGGUAACAGCGUCGGCAGGGAAAACCCCGACCGGAGCAAGACCAAAUAGGGGGGCGUUGAUGUGGCCCGCAGAGUCCCCGGGUAGGUUGCUUCAGCCAUACGGUGACGUAUGGCGCAGAUGAAUGAUGGUCCUCGACAGAACCCGGCUUAUCGGCUGACUCAACAA